rnacentral:lncRNA from 1 species
CAGAGGUGAGAUAGACUCCAGUCUCCCAUAGCGCUCCCAGGCUUAUUAGGAAGAGGAAAUUCCCGCCUACUAAAUUUUGGUCAGACGGGUUGCUCUUAAAACCCUGUCUCCUGAUAAGAUGUUAUCAAUGACAAUGGUGCCCGAAACUUCAUUAGCAAUUUUAAUUUUGCCUCAGUCCUGAGGUCCUGUGAUCUCGCCCUGCCUCCACUUGCCUUGUGAUAUUCUAUUACCCUGUUAAGUACUUGAUGUCUGUGACCCACACCUAUUCACACACUCCCUCCCCUUUUGAAAAUCCCUAAUAAAAACUUGCUGGUUUUUGCGGCUUGUGAGGCAUCACGGAUCCUACCAACAUGUGAUGUCUCCCCCGGAAGCCCAGCUUUAAAAUUUCUCUCUUUUGUACUCUGUCCCUUUAUUUCUCAAGCCAGCCGACACUUAAGAAAAUAGAAAAGAACCUACAUGAUUAUCGGACCAGUAACCCAAGAGCACCCACUCAGGGCCACGGCUCAGGCAGGAACCUGGGAUGCAAGGAUGGAUGGCACAUGGUCCUCCCUCCAGGAGAUCACAGUGUAGGGAAAUCAACGAGGACCCAUAGUGAGCCCCUCCAUCCCACGUACCCCCUCCUCUAUCCACUUGUGGGCACUGCAGCCUGGACUUCUGCAUCAGCAGCUGUGUGGAGGUCUGUUACCCUGAGAUCUGCAGCCAGGACAGGGGGCUGUGCCCAGGAACAAGGAGCACAUUGCUUUGCUGGUGUCUGUGAGCAGCUGGAGAUGGUGGUGAACGGUCUGUUUGCAUUUCUUGGAAGAAGAUCUUUUAUUCUGCUGCUCAACCCAGGUCUCUGCCUUCCUUAGAGACUGAGGCCCAUCCUUCAGUUUCCCUGAUUCUGGAAGAGCAGGGGGGUUGAAUGGAGCAGGAGGUCAUGAUGGAGACUUGGGCCCCAGCAUCCCGCAGCAUUUGCAGCGCCUCCUUAUAUAGGGGGUCGUAAUCAU